UACGUAGGGUGCGAGCGUUGUCCGGAAUUAUUGGGCGUAAAGAGCUCGUAGGCGGUUUGUCGCGUCUGCCGUGAAAGUCCGGGGCUCAACUCCGGAUCUGCGGUGGGUACGGGCAGACUAGAGUGAUGUAGGGGAGACUGGAAUUCCUGGUGUAGCGGUGAAAUGCGCAGAUAUCAGGAGGAACACCGGAUGGCGAAGGCAGGUCUCUGGGCAUUAACUGACGCUGAGGAGCGAAAGCAUGGGGAGCGAACAGG
rnacentral:rRNA from 1 species